rnacentral:lncRNA from 1 species
UGAAAGUCCAUUUGCGCGUGAGGUUACUUUUAAAAAAUUCUAAUUCAAACCUACAUUAAGGAACAAAAUAUCCGUGAAACGUCCUGAACUAAGUGUUUUUGGUUUUUGUUUUAUUUAUAAGUUGUUCGCCAAUUUAGUCUUAACAAACAUAAUGAUUUGUUAUAAUCGGCAAUGCUACAGUUAUUCACCAAGCAUUUGCUAAUUCCAAUAUUUAUCGUAUCCAUGAAAGCAAUUUGUUUUAAAAAAAAUUUUACUUAAAUAACGGAUUUAAUAUCAAUCUAUUAUAAAUCUGCGUUUUCAUGCAUGCAUGUUGUCUAUCAAAAAAGAAAGGAAAUAAAAGGUAACGCCUACAUAUGGGCUAUGUAUCUCCCAGUUGAUACAAUAUUCAAGGGCGUGCGUCACAUACCAGGCAUAUAUGCAUUGAGGA